UCUCGGCAUGCUUUGAGCUGAGGGAUCAAAAAAAAUCAAACUGUGAAGUCAACACUAUCAGUUCUUUGCUUUUUGACAAGGCGAGUUCAGCCGGAUUGACUUCGACGCUCGUCUGGCUUGGCUGGAGGACGUUUGAUUUGAAGUCGGUAAGAGAGGCACGGAGACUGUUGGUUGUUGGCAUUUCCAGGUAUGACUUGUUGUAUGAGUGGAAAAUCAAAGGCAACGGUGCGAAGCUAGAAUGUGAAGGAUUUGGUAGGAUUGGGAGGCCUGAACAAAAGUCGAAAAGCCCUCAAGGAAUGCCGUCACAUCUGCUGGGUGGAAAAUGUUGAUGAAGAAGAACGGAGGACAGUGGGAAAUGUGGAUUUGAGGUUCCUGACGCAACUCUAUGUGCUCGCCAUGGAGCUGGAUGUGUGCUGCGACAGAAGCGUGAUGUCCUACAAGGGCAAGCAGUCACGGACAAAGCGGUGGUCACGGACGCUCCCUGAAGUAGUAAUGCAGUGAUCCGCUAGAAAGCAGAAGCAAAGGUUGCAGGUUCAAUUCUCAACGAGUAUGGUCUGGUGCGAUGUUCAACGUCGAACGGCGCGAGUCCUAAGGCACGGAGAAAGGGGUGCAGCCAUGAGCAAGCCGGAGAAGAAAAUUCACGCGCAGAAAAUCAGGAGGAAGGGGUGCAGCCAUGAGCAAAAUUGUGGCUGAACUCUUGUUGUUUCUGCAUGAAGGAGAACUCUUGUUUCUGCAUGAAGAAGGAGAACUCUUGUUGUUUCUACAUGAAGAAGGAGAACUCUUGUUGUUUCUGCAUGAAGAAGCAGAACUCUUGUUGUUUCUGCAUGAAGAAGGAGAACUCUUGU